rnacentral:misc_RNA from 1 species
UUGAAUACGAUUGGUACUGAUGCUGGCUCUUCACUGAGCAUGUGCUCGUCCAUCUAUUUAUCUUCUCUUGUGCACAUUUUGUAGUCUUGAACGAAACCCUUCGCAGUCAAUGCGGUUUGGGAGCUUGGGCGCAAGCCCUUCUCCUGCUUCUUCAAGGCUAUGUUUUCAUAUACACUAUAAAGUUACAGAAUGUCUUUUAACGAUUGCGCUCGUCGUAGUCAUUAAACCUAUA